rnacentral:rRNA from 1 species
GACGAACGCUGGCGGCGUGCCUAAUACAUGCAAGUUGAGCGCUGAAGGUUGGUACUUGUACCAACUGGAUGAGCAGCGAACGGGUGAGUAACGCGUGGGGAAUCUGCCUUUGAGCGGGGGACAACAUUUGGAAACGAAUGCUAAUACCGCAUAAAAACUUAAAACACAAGUUUUAAGUUUGAAAGAUGCAAUUGCAUCACUCAAAGAUGAUCCCGCGUUGUAUUAGCUAGUUGGUGAGGUAAAGGCUCACCAAGGCGAUGAUACAUAGCCGACCUGAGAGGGUGAUCGGCCACAUUGGGACUGAGACACGGCCCAAACUCCUACGGGAGGCAGCAGUAGGGAAUCUUCGGCAAUGGACGAAAGUCUGACCGAGCAACGCCGCGUGAGUGAAGAAGGUUUUCGGAUCGUAAAACUCUGUUGGUAGAGAAGAACGUUGGUGAGAGUGGAAAGCUCAUCAAGUGACGGUAACUACCCAGAAAGGGACGGCUAACUACGUG